rnacentral:rRNA from 1 species
ACUCCUACGGGAGGCAGCAGUGGGGAAUAUUGCACAAUGGGGGAAACCCUGAUGCAGCAACGCCGCGUGAGUGAUGACGGUCUUCGGAUUGUAAAGCUCUGUCUUCAGGGACGAUAAUGACGGUACCUGAGGAGGAAGCCACGGCUAACUACGUGCCAGCAGCCGCGGUAAUACGUAGGUGGCAAGCGUUGUCCGGAUUUACUGGGCGUAAAGGGAGCGUAGGUGGAUAUUUAAGUGGGAUGUGAAAUACUCGGGCUUAACCUGGGUGCUGCAUUCCAAACUGGAUAUCUAGAGUGCAGGAGAGGAAAGUAGAAUUCCUAGUGUAGCGGUGAAAUGCGUAGAGAUUAGGAAGAAUACCAGUGGCGAAGGCGACUUUCUGGACUGUAACUGACACUGAGGCUCGAAAGCGUGGGGAGCAAACAGGAUUAGAUACCCUGGUAGUC